GCAGAGUUUUCUGACAGACUCUCCUUCAAUAUUUUCACCCUUAUUUUUUUCAGAGGAUUAAAUUUUGAAUAUUUUACCUUUCAAUCAUUUUUUUAUACUAAUUACUAUAUUCAAAUAAUAUUUUUAAAUUUAUUGAAAAAUUAUUAUUUCAAAAUUGAUUACCAAAUUUUAACGAUAAAUUAAAAUUAGGUUGCUAACUACAUUAAAAACAUAAAAAAAGUCUAGUAUUAUUAUUAUUAUAAAAGAAGUUAUGGUAUGAGAAGAUUACAAAGCAUAUUAAAACAUUAAAGGUAAAUGAGGAAUGAUAGAAGGACUUGUUUUUGAAGCUAUAAGACAUUUUUAUUUCAACUUCAAAGCUCAAACAAUUUUAUUUCAUUCUACAUUUAUUUCCUCUUUGUUCUGUUCCACCCUGUAUAUCAAACAAACAAAUAAAUAAUAUUAGUGUGUAUGUAUUUGUCUCUAUAUAAAUGGAUAAGGUUAUAAGGUUAAUUAGCAAUCAUUUUCAAAUUAUGUUAACUGAUAGUUUUUAUAAAUAUUAUAUCAUAUAUGUAUUGUAAUAUACAUAUUUUUUUUUAAAAAUAAGACAUUAUGUAUGUGGUCUAGUAGAAAAGUAUACAUUAAAAUAUUUGUUUAUACAAUCCUUUAAUAUUUUGGAGAGUUAAUCCUAAAAUGAAAAUCGAGUUAGUGCAUUUUUUAGUUAUAUAUUCACUAAACAAGUAAGGUUUUUCAAAUAUAUUAGAAUAAAUAAAUUUAAAAAAUGUAAUAAGUAAGUCCUGGCUUAGAAACACGAUUUUAAAAUAAAUAAACUGUUAAAAAAACACGAUCUUUAUAUUUUUUAAAAGAGUCCUCACAAGUCAACUUUUUUAGUUUUUAAAUUUUAUAAAGCUCUACACAUAAUACAUCUCCAUUUUAAUUUUUUCAAUUUUUAUGUUUUUCAACUUUUAUGUACAUCUUUUUUAUUUUCAAAUCUUUUAUUUAAUAAUUUGAUUAAUUAUUUUAUGUAAACAUUUUUAUUUUGAGAUAUUUUUUAAUAAUUUAUAUUAAAAAUAUCUAAUAUUUUUGAAGUUUCUUUUGCUUCUUCUAACUUUUUUAAAUAAAUAUUUUUUAUUAAUGUGAUUCUUAUUUAUUACAUAUAUAUGAAUAUUUUGGAAAAUAUAUGUUAAAAGUACUGCCAAUUUAUUUGUAUAAUAUGUUAAAAGUUUACUCAUUUUCAUAAAUUAAAAAAAAUAUACCCAUUUGAUUAAUCUCUAAAGUGUAAACUUUAUAAUAUAUAUUAUUGUGAAAUUGAAAUUGUGAGAAAAAUAUUUGAAUUUAAGUACCUUUGAGCUCUGAACCACCUUGAGAGUUGAUAUAACUGCAUAGUCUCAUUGGUCAUAUGACAUACCAGAAGAUGAAGGUUACGUGGUCGCACCACCCAAGCAAACCUCAUGAAUGAUGCUGAAUAAACACACAUAACUGCACUAAAACAAUUCAUUUAUUUUAAAUAUAUUAAAUAAACUCUUCUAAUAUUUUUUUAAUUAUUUUCCUCCCUUGAAACAUAUUUUUCAGCUCUCUCUAACUAUUCACCACAUAAAUUUCAUCUAUAUUAUUAUACAAUGGAAAUUCUCUCAUUUGUUUCAAAUUCUUUUUUUUUAUAUUUUAUUUUAAGUCAUUAUUUUAAGUUACAAUUUAAAAUUCAAAAUAACAUCAAUAUAAAAAAUUUAAAACAUAACAAAAUUAGAAAAUAAAUUAAAACAAAACUACCGCAUUUUGCGUAAAAUUAACUCUAAAUGUUUAAAAUGUUUGAUUUUUAUAUAAUAGUUUUUUUAUAGCAUAACUUCGAUAAAUGUAUAACAACUAAAAUAUUUAAUUUUUUU
rnacentral:lncRNA from 1 species